AGAGUUUGAUCCUGGCUCAGGAUGAACGCUAGCGGCAGGCCUAAUACAUGCAAGUCGAGGGGCAGCACAGGUAGCAAUACUGGGUGGCGACCGGCAAACGGGUGCGGAACACGUACGCAACCUUCCUUUAAGCGGGGAAUAGCCCAGAGAAAUUUGGAUUAAUACCCCAUAAGAAUGUGGACUGGCAUCAGUCAGCAUUUAAAGAUUUAUCACUUAAAGAUGGGCGUGCGUCUGAUUAGGUAGUUGGUGAGGUAACGGCUCACCAAGCCGACGAUCAGUAACUGGCGUGAGAGCGCGACCAGUCACACGGGCACUGAGACACGGGCCCGACUCCUACGGGAGGCAGCAGUAAGGAAUAUUGGUCAAUGGACGGAAGUCUGAACCAGCCAUGCCGCGUGGAGGAUGAAGGCCCUCUGGGUUGUAAACUUCUUUUAUCUGGGACGAAACACUUCCUUUCUAGGGAGCUUGACGGUACCAGGUGAAUAAGCACCGGCUAACUCCGUGCCAGCCGCCGCGGUAAUAC
rnacentral:rRNA from 1 species